rnacentral:rRNA from 1 species
GGCCAGACUCCUACGGGAGGCAGCAGUGGGGGAUAUUGCACAAUGGGGGGAACCCUGAUGCAGCGACGCCGCGUGGGUGAAGAAGCGCCUCGGCGCGUAAAGCCCUGUCAGCAGGGAAGAAAAUGACGGUACCUGAAGAAGAAGCCCCGGCUAACUACGUGCCAGCAGCCGCGGUAACACGUAGGGGGCAAGCGUUAUCCGGAUUUACUGGGUGUAAAGGGGGCGCAGACGGCGAUGCAAGCCAGGAGUGAAAGCCCAGGGCCCAACCCCGGGACUGCUCUUGGAACUGCGUGGCUGGAGUGCAGGAGGGGCAGGCGGAAUUCCUGGUGUAGCGGUGAAAUGCGUAGAUAUCAGGAGGAACACCGGUGGCGAAGGCGGCCUGCUGGACUGCAACUGACGUUGAGGCCCGAAAGCGUGGGGAGCAAACAGGAUUAGAUACCCUUGUA